GAAGACUAGUGUACAAGUCAGAAAAGUUUAAUACCUUCACUUCCAACUAAGUAUUUCGGCUUUUUCAUGCAUUUUUCAGAAAACAAGACUUCAUAUCUUAAGGCACUUUCCAAGUAAAUAUAUCUUGAUUAUAAGAAUGCUUAGAUUAUACUGGGAAACAACACACACACACACACACACACACACACACACACACACAAAAAAAGAAGAAUGUUUUUGCAUUGCUUAAAAGGCCUAUUUCUCUCAAAUAUUGUUCACAAAUCUAUCUAAAACUGUGUUAAAAUGGCCUUUUAUUGUGGCCAGCCUAAGGCACACCUGUGCAAUAAUCAUGCUAUCUAAUCAGCAUCUUGAUAUACCACACCUGUGAGGUGGACGGAUUAUCUCGGCAAAGGAGAAGCCGAGAAACUUUUGCUUACGUAUCGUGCCUCUCAGAGGGAAUGCUGUUACUAGGUGGUACUUGGAUUUUAUUGGUGACUAUAAUUGGUCUAUAUUUGCGUUUUUUUAUCAAUAUUUAAUUGACAGUGUUAUGCAUUAAGAAAUUCCAUUGCUUUGGCAAUGCCUUUGCUGAAGUCAAACUAGUUCUGAAUGCAGACUAUUGAUGUUGUGCUGUCUCUUAAUCAGAUGUAGGAAGAGCAGCUGAAACAGACGGAGCCUUCGAGAGACACGGACCGACUGCUGAGCUACUGCUGUAAUGAAAUAAAGAUGUUCUGGAAUGAUGCCUGGCGCUCUGGCAAACCUCUCACAGGCUGUACUGGGCUGAACCACAGUCUCUCUAAAGCAUGUCGCUCCCUUCAGUGGCCAUCUCAGCUGUGCCGUUGUCAUUGCAGAGUUCUGUGUUUCCUGUGACAACCUAUCAGUGUACUCAAAUCUAUGAGCCUUGGAGAUGCACGGCCGCCUCCAGCCCUGCUCUCAAACAGCAUGACUCAACAAUCCUGAGCAUCUUCCCACCCCAUAAUCCUCUGCCCAAGAGAUGGCCACCACUUGAGACCAAAGCCAUGUUGCCGAAGGAAAAGCCUUGCUUGCGAUAAUGGAUACAUUUCACAGAGCUUUGGUUAAUGUGAUACUUUGCAAAAAAAUUUUAUAUGUGGACGCUAAUUUCAUGGGGCGGUGAAAAAAUUCAAUGAAAGAUUUCCACUGUAAGCAUUAACAUCUGAGACCUUCACCCGAGGCAGGUAAAUGGAUGACUCCUGCACAAGGUUUAUGAGCGUCUACUUGACCUUUUGACCCUCAAGGAUUUUGAUAGACGUGGAACUAAUCAGAGCCAAUUUCUUACAUAAGCCUGCGCCAAUUUGUCAGCAAGUCAUUUCUGUAUCGGCCCCACUGUUCCGGUUUCAGCAUUUUCUAAAAAUAUCCAUGUGUGAAGAGAAUGAACACGACGUCCUCGGGGAACAAAUUGAAUAGAAUCACAUAUGCAUGAAAAAUAAUGAGACAUGGGAUAUUUUUGUGAGUUAUUAAGUGGACUUGAGGGGAAAAUUGACUUUUUUUUUCCAGAGUAACAGAAAAGUUUGUUUUUGACAAGAGCGAGUGUCAAAUCUAAUUGAAAACCUGAUUUAUUAGCAUAAAGUCAAAGAUUUGCUUGGCUAAGGAAUGUUUGCUGUAAUUGGUGAAUAAACUGUGGAUGUGAGCAGUGAUUGGUUGGCUUACUGUGAAUGAAUGUAGCGAGCGGCUACUGUGAACGUGAGGCAGGGUUGUGGAUCAUUCAGAACUGAACUGAGAAUUAUUUUUUAAAUCUUAAAUGAUUUUUUAAAUUAUUUAUUUAUUUAUUUAUUUAUUUUUAAUUUGAAUUAGGGUCCCAAACAAGAUAAAGAACUGUAACGAUGUAGAAUUAAAAUGAAUUGAUAUUCAAAGAUAUACAUAUGACUGUAAUUUCUUACCAGAAAAGCAAACUGGUGAAGACAUACUUCAGAUGUUUGCCAUAGUGUAUAUUUCCUCAUAUUUAAUAAUUUAACUUUUGUGGUCUUGGGUGGAAGAACGCUUCAUUUCCCAAAAU
ensembl:lncRNA